rnacentral:rRNA from 1 species
GAUGAACGCUGGCGGCGUGCCUAAUACAUGCAAGUCGAGCGAACGGACGAGAAGCUUGCUUCUCUGAUGUUAGCGGCGGACGGGUGAGUAACACGUGGAUAACCUACCUAUAAGACUGGGAUAACUUCGGGAAACCGGAGCUAAUACCGGAUAAUAUUUUGAACCGCAUGGUUCAAAAGUAAUAGACGGUCUUGCUGUCACUUAUAGAUGGAUCCGCGCUGCAUUAGCUAGUUGGUAAGGUAACGGCUUACCAAGGCAACGAUGCAUAGCCGACCUGAGAGGGUGAUCGGCCAAACUGGAACGGAGACACGGUCCAGAAGCCUACGGGAGGCAGCAGUAGGGAAUAUUCGGCAAUGGGCGAAAGCCUGACGGAGCAACGCCGCGUGAGUGAUGAAGGUCUUCGGAUCGUAAAACUCUGUUAUUAGGGAAGAACAUAUGUGUAAGUAACUGUGCACAUCUUGACGGUACCUAAUCAGAAAGCCACGGCUAACUACGUG